rnacentral:lncRNA from 1 species
GAAGCCGCACCCCCGCGGGGCCGCCUGAGAACGAGUCCGCAGCCGCCGCCAUUCCGCCUCGCCGCACCCUUCCGCCCCGCCUCCGCUUUCCCGCCAACUUUGAGAAGCAGCGGGGCCCGGCCCUCAGCCACCAAUCAGGAGCGCGCUGGCAGAGCCGGCCAAUGGUCGACGUCAGAAGGCGGGACCGCCGGGCGAAGAGGCCCUCUCUAGCAGCCAGGAGUGCGCAUGCGUAGAUAAAAGUAAAUAAACGCCCUCAAGUUAGGAAUGAACGGAGGAAAUGGGUUAAACGAGAAUAAAUAAUUGAAGGCAGAGAGGUAAAGAACUUCCUCUUUCAACGCAUCUCAAAAUUUGGCGUGGAUGCAGAUCACCUACAGAGUAUGAUUAUUCAUCUUUACAUUGCCUUGUUUUGAGAUGAUGAAACUGAGGUUCAAGCCAAUGACAAGCCUGAAGCCACAUGGCUAGUGAGUGGCAGAGUCAGAACUCAAACCCAAAUCCACCUGACCCCAAACUUCAUGUAUCUUGAACUACAGGCUCCAUCUCACUGUUCACACUCUCACCCACCUCCACCCAUCAAAGGUGCCUCUAGACCUUUGCUUGUGUUGUUUGUUCUCUGCCUGACAUGCCUCCCCCUCAGUCGCUCUCAGUUGAAACCUGGCUUAGUCAUCAAGUGCCUGCUCAGCAGCAAGACCUCUUCUCUUCACAGAGCCUUUGUUGAGCCCCACCACUGGAAUUAACCUCUUCCUUCCAGACCAGUUUGGUGGUGCCCCUAAUCCACAGUUUCCCAACCUCAGCCCUACUGACACUGGGGCUGGAUAAUCUUUGUCGUGGGGGCUGUCGUGUGCACUGCAGGAUAUGGAGCAGUACCCCUGCUUUCCACCCACGAGAUGCCAUGGCACCCUCCUCAAGUUGCAACAACCAAAAUAUGUCUUCAGACAUUGCCACUGUCCCCUAGGGUACUAAAUCACCUCUAUGGAGAACCACUGUCCUAAGCUACAAUACUCACUGCCCUCUGUUUUGAGCCAUAAAUAGUUGUGUCUGUGUCUAUCUUACCAGUAAAGCCUGGGUUCUCAAACUAAGUUGUCAGCAGCAGACAGACAGGUAACCCUGGUGUAGCAGGGGCAAACUGGCCUUCUGAUGUCCCGGCAACAGGGGUCCAUCACACUCAGCCGGUGGUUGUCGUGCAGGACUGUGGGCCCAUUGUUGCUAGAUCUGAUUUUUCAAGACAUUUUCUUUUUUUCGUUUGUUUUUGUUUUGUUUUAGAUGGAGUCUAACUCUGUUGCCCAGGCUGUAGUGCAAUGGCACGAUCUCAACUCACCACAACUUCCACCUCCCAGGUUUAAGUGAUUCUCCUGCCUCAGCCUUACAAGUAGCUGGGAUUACAGGUGCCCGCCACCACGCCCGGCCAAUUUUGUGUAUUUUUAGUAGAGAUGGGGUUUCACCAUGUUGGCCAGGCUAGUCUCGAACUCCCUACCUCAGAUGAUCCACCUGCCUUGGCCUCCCAAAGUGCUGGGAUUACGGGCGUGAGCCACCGCGCCCAGCUCAAGACAUUUUCAUGUAUAAUUUCCAUGUUUAAAAAAAAAAUGCUGGCAAACAAUUCAAUUCUGAAACAAAGGAACAAAAACAAACCAUGUGCCCCAGAAAGUCAUCCAUGGACUGACUCUGGCCCGUGGGCUUCCAAUCUGCAAACUCUCUCUAGAACGUGACCUCUGCUUCAGGCACCAAGGCAGCCUGCAUGUUCACUAACGUGCAGGUCCUUAAAUCUCCUGCAAAAUAGCCAAGGGGCUGUAGUGUUCCACCAGCUCCAAGAGUUGCAAAAUCAGCAUUUUAAAUUACAGUCAUGAGCAGACAAGUGGGGUCUGUUGACACAUGUUGGGUAAGCCUCCCCUCUAGGGAGGAUUAUCCCCCCUCCCCCACACCACAAUCCAUCACCCUCACACUCAGGCCUGAAGCAACCCCCUGUGCCAGCCUCCCCGAGCUCCAGCUUCCCAGUGAGAUCAAAGAUCCUUGGAAGGCGGUUUCCUGCCACCUGCACCAGUGAGGACAAAGCCUGCUGAGUGCCUGCGAUUGCAGCCUCACGCCGCCACGCCUGACUGGUUUUCGUAUUUUUUGGGUGGAGACGGGUUUUCGCCGUGUUGGCCGGGCUGGUCUCCAGCUCCUAACCGCGAGUGAUCCGCCAGCCUCGGCCUCCCGAGGUGCCGGGAUUGCAGACGGAGUCUCCUCCACUCAGUGCUCAAUGGUGCCCAGGCUGGAGUGCAGUGGCGUGAUCUCGGCUCGCUA